rnacentral:rRNA from 1 species
AGAGUUUGAUCCUGGCUCAGGAUGAACGCUGGCGGCGUGCCUAAUACAUGCAAGUCGAGCGAACUGAUUAGAAGCUUGCUUCUAUGACGUUAGCGGCGGACGGGUGAGUAACACGUGGGCAACCUGCCUGUAAGACUGGGAUAACUUCGGGAAACCGAAGCUAAUACCGGAUAGGAUCUUCUCCUUCAUGGGAGAUGAUUGAAAGAUGGUUUCGGCUAUCACUUACAGAUGGGCCCGCGGUGCAUUAGCUAGUUGGUGAGGUAACGGCUCACCAAGGCAACGAUGCAUAGCCGACCUGAGAGGGUGAUCGGCCACACUGGGACUGAGACACGGCCCAGACUCCUACGGGAGGCAGCAGUAGGGAAUCUUCCGCAAUGGACGAAAGUCUGACGGAGCAACGCCGCGUGAGUGAUGAAGGCUUUCGGGUCGUAAAACUCUGUUGUUAGGGAAGAACAAGUACGAGAGUAACUGCUCGUACCUUGACGGUACCUAACCAGAAAGCCACGGCUAACUACGUGCCAGCAGCCGCGGUAAUACGUAGGUGGCAAGCGUUAUCCGGAAUUAUUGGGCGUAAAGCGCGCGCAGGCGGUUUCUUAAGUCUGAUGUGAAAGCCCACGGCUCAACCGUGGAGGGUCAUUGGAAACUGGGGAACUUGAGUGCAGAAGAGAAAAGCGGAAUUCCACGUGUAGCGGUGAAAUGCGUAGAGAUGUGGAGGAACACCAGUGGCGAAGGCGGCUUUUUGGUCUGUAACUGACGCUGAGGCGCGAAAGCGUGGGGAGCAAACAGGAUUAGAUACCCUG